rnacentral:rRNA from 1 species
UACGUAGGGUGCGAGCGUUGUCCGGAAUUAUUGGGCGUAAAGAGCUUGUAGGCGGUUUGUCGCGUCUGCCGUGAAAAUUCGAGGCUCAACCUCGAACUUGCGGUGGGUACGGGCAGACUAGAGUGUGGUAGGGGAGACUGGAAUUCCUGGUGUAGCGGUGAAAUGCGCAGAUAUCAGGAGGAACACCGAUGGCGAAGGCAGGUCUCUGAGCAUUAACUGACGCUGAGGAGCGAAAGCAUGGGGAGCGAACGGG